GACGAACGCUGGCGGCGUGCCUAAUACAUGCAAGUAGAACGCUGAAGAGAGGAGCUUGCUCUUCUUGGAUGAGUUGCGAACGGGUGAGUAACGCGUAGGUAACCUGCCUUGUAGCGGGGGAUAACUAUUGGAAACGAUAGCUAAUACCGCAUAACAAUGGAUGACACAUGUCAUUUAUUUGAAAGGGGCAAUUGCUCCACUACAAGAUGGACCUGCGUUGUAUUAGCUAGUAGGUGAGGUAAUGGCUCACCUAGGCGACGAUACAUAGCCGACCUGAGAGGGUGAUCGGCCACACUGGGACUGAGACACGGCCCAGACUCCUACGGGAGGCAGCAGUAGGGAAUCUUCGGCAAGGGGGGCAACCCUGACCGAGCAACGCCGCGUGAGUGAAGAAGGGUUUCGGAUCGUAAAGCUCUGUUGUAAGUCAAGAACGGGUGUGAGAGUGGAAAGUUCACACUGUGACGGUAGCUUACCAGAAAGGGACGGCUAACUACGUG
rnacentral:rRNA from 1 species